UACGUUUGUUCUGGGUAUAAGCUUUUGUGUGCAUGCACACGAAAGCUUGCAUGCUUUCUGAAGAAGUGUGCAUGCACACAAAAGCUUAUACCCAGAACAAACGUA